AGGCGCUCUCUCUUUUAGGUCGCUGCACGCUGCGCGGCUCAGUGGUGCUCAAGAUCCAGAGGAACAUAAGGUCUGAUACGGUAAAGGAUCAGUAAAGCUGUUCAAGUAAUAAGGUGUAUGUGUUAAUAUGGAAUAGAGGUUUUGAUGUCUUUUGUCUCUUUCUUGGUGGUUGCAAGGGUAAAUUUUGAGACAGUCCCAAUUACAUAUAGGAACAUAUCUGGGAAUUGUGUACCUGUGCCCUGUAGCUGAGUUGGACCCUUAGAGAAUUUCUGUAGAACUCAAUUCCAUAUUUAGGUUUUCUGUCAACUAGGCCAGUCUGAAACUUGACAUAGAAUUAACACUGAAGAUCGUCCUUAAUCUUGGUUCAUAUACUCUACUACAAGACUAGAUCAGUUAGAGCCAGACAGACGAGGUGAUGCACACCUGUAAUCCCAGCAGCUCAGGAGGAUCACAAAUUCAAAGCCAGCCUCAGCAAAAGGGCUAGGGAUGUGGCUCAGUGGUUGAGUGUCCCUAGGUUCAAUCCA